rnacentral:rRNA from 1 species
AUUGAACGCUGGCGGCAGGCUUAACACAUGCAAGUCGAGCGGAGAGAGGUAGCUUGCUACCGAUCUUAGCGGCGGACGGUGAGUAAUGCUUAGGAAUCUGCCUAUUAGUGGGGGACAACAUUUCGAAAGGAAUGCUAAUACCGCAUACGUCCUACGGGAGAAAGCAGGGGAUCUUCGGACCUUGCGCUAAUAGAUGAGCCUAAGUCGGAUUAGCUAGUUGGUGGGGUAAAGGCCUACCAAGGCGACGAUCUGUAGCGGGUCUGAGAGGAUGAUCCGCCACACUGGGACUGAGACACGGCCCAGACUCCUACGGGAGGCAGCAGUGGGGAAUAUUGGACAAUGGGCGCAAGCCUGAUCCAGCCAUGCCGCGUGUGUGAAGAAGGCCUUAUGGUUGUAAAGCACUUUAAGCGAGGAGGAGGCUACUUUAGUUAAUACCUAGAGAUAGUGGACGUUACUCGCAGAAUAAGCACCGGCUAACUCUGUGCCAGCCGCCGCUGUAAAAC